rnacentral:rRNA from 1 species
AGCGAAACGGGACGAGCUCAGCGCCGAAGCUUUCAGUGUGUCGCGCACUGAACGCGGUGUGGUGCUUUGUCUCAGCGGUCGUGAUUGGCGGCAUGUCGUUGUACGCCCCCUUGAUUGGGACGUCAGAGCGGGCGCAAGACCCAUGACGACGGUUGCCGCGGUCAAUGCUUUGCUGGGACGUCGAGUCGGGUUGUUUGAGACUACAACACAAACCGGAUGGUAUAUCCCAUCUAAGGCUAAACAUUGCUCUGAGACCGAUAGCGAACAAACAAAGUGAGGGAAAUUUGAAAAUAACUCUCAAAAGAGAGUUAAACAGGACGUGAAACCGUUCAAAAGAAAACUGACGGAGCUGUCGUUGUUAGACGGUUGGCAAUCAAUCGCGUUCAGCGCGGCCGAGUCUUCGCUGUCGCUUGGUUGGCGGCAGUUGGCGCCGUUGACGA